AACGGCCGUACCAUGCUGAAUAUACCGGUUCUCGUUAGAUCACCGAAGUUAAGCAUCAUUGGGCGCGGUCAGUACUUGGGUGGGUGACUACUUGGGAACACUGCGUGUCGUU
rnacentral:rRNA from 1 species